rnacentral:rRNA from 1 species
AUUGAACGCUGGCGGAAUGCUUUACACAUGCAAGUCGAACGGCAGCACGGGGCAACCUGGUGGCGAGUGGCGAACGGGUGAGUAAUACAUCGGAACGUGCCCAAUCGUGGGGGAUAACGUAGCGAAAGUUACGCUAAUACCGCAUACGAUCUACGGAUGAAAGCGGGGGAUCGCAAGACCUCGCGCGAGUGGAGCGGCCGAUGUCAGAUUAGGUAGUUGGUGGGGUAAAGGCUCACCAAGCCAACGAUCUGUAGCUGGUCUGAGAGGACGACCAGCCACACUGGAACUGAGACACGGUCCAGACUCCUACGGGAGGCAGCAGUGGGGAAUUUUGGACAAUGGGCGCAAGCCUGAUCCAGCCAUUCCGCGUGCAGGAUGAAGGCCUCGGUUGUAACUAGCUUUGUAC